AGUGAACGCUGGCGGUAGGCCUAACGCAUGCAAGUCGAACGGCAGCACAGUAAGAGCUUGCUCUUACGGGUGGCGAGUGGCGGACGGGUGAGGAAUACAUCGGAAUCUACUUUUUCGUGGGGGAUAACGUAGGGAAACUUACGCUAAUACCGCAUACGACCUACGGGUGAAAGCGGGGGAUCUUCGGACCUUGCGCGAUUGAAUGAGCCGAUGUCGGAUUAGCUAGUAGGCGGGGUAAAGGCCCACCAAGGCGACGAUCCGUAGCUGGUCUGAGAGGAUGAUCAGCCACACUGGAACUGAGACACUGUCCAGACUCCUACGGGAGGCAGCAGUGGGGAAUAUUGGACAAUGGGCGCAAGCCUGAUCCAGCCAUACCGCGUGGGUGAAGAAGGCCUUCGGGUUGUAAAGCCCUUUUGUUGGGAAAGAAAAGCAGCAGGUUAAUACCCCGCUGUUCUGACGGUACCCAAAGAAUAAGCACCGGCUAACUUCGUG
rnacentral:rRNA from 1 species